rnacentral:rRNA from 1 species
UACGUAGGGGGCAAGCGUUGUCCGGAAUCAUUGGGCGUAAAGCGCGCGUAGGCGGCCCGGUAAGUCCGCUGUAAAAGUCAAAGGCUCAACCUUUGAAUGUCAGUGGAUACUGCCGGGCUAGAGUCCGGAAGAGGCGAGUGGAACUCCUGGUGUAGCGGUGGAAUGCGCAGAUAUCAGGAAGAACACCAACGGCGAAGGCAGCUCGCUGGGACGGUACUGACGCUGAGACGCGAAAGCGUGGGGAGCGAACAGG